GGAGAAUCGAUCGAUGAUUAAGCGGUUCUUGAGGAGAUGGAGUGUGGCUGUGAUGCCGGGGUGACCAGAGGCAGGAAGACAGUGGAUAUGAUCCAGGACUUGAUCACGGUAGGGGGCAGGGUCAUUAUAUCCCACUGGAUGGGAGCAACCACCACCUGGAAGGGCAAGAUGCGUUCGGGGGUUGAGAUGGAGGGGUCGUCAUCAUGGAUACGUGACAAAGCAUCGGCUUUAGUAUUCUUGGAACCUGGGCGAUAUGUGACAUUGAACUGAAACCGGGAGAAGAACAAGGACCAUCUGGCUUGGCGUGGG
ensembl:lncRNA